GAGAGAGAGAGAGAGAAAGAAAGGCGGGCGCUCUUCCGCUCGCCCUUAGCAGCCCAGCCGGCCUUCAGCAGCGGCAAGGAGGAGGAACGCGACUCUAGCCAGACGGCGGCGGCCAGCGAAGCAGCCGGCGGAGGGCGUUGCUUCGGGACGCGCUCAAAAAACUCCGCGGCCUGUGCUUAAGCCGCACGUUCUCCGCACCAAUGGCUCCCCGGGCGCCAGUCACGCACUUAGGGGACGAGGCGGCGGGAAGGCUCCCCCUCUCUCUCUCGGCAGCCCCAGUUUAACGCCGGUGGGCGCCCUGCGGAGGCUUUAUAAGAGAGGAGAAGCCAGCCGAAGCUAAGCUAUGUCAGAAUGCAGUUACGUGGAUGAUAGUGGGAAAAUUGGCGAUAUACCCAGAUAACACUACUACUAAGUGAGCUGCACCAGUUUCCAAUAGACUUCAAGAUACAAUCAAUGUGUCGGUUCUCACCUUUGUGCCACGGGACCGGAUUACCUGUUCCUUCAUGGUUUCUGCCUUUCCACUAGGUUUCCUUGAUGAAACAGCAUCACCUUGUGUGGCCCUGGAAAUGUCCUUCCCUGUCAUGCAAUAGCCUCCCCUCCCUCCAGAUAUACGGAAGGACUCAACCUUGUUGGCCUACAGCAAGAGUGUCAAACUCACAUUUUCACGGCGGCGUCACGUGACAUAUUGGGACUUUUUCCCCCUUCGCUAAACCAGGCAUGGGCGUGGUCAGUGUGUGACACAUCCGGCCCAUGGGCCGGGAGUUUGACAUUCCUGGCCUACAGAAACAAGGAUAUUGAUGGAACUAGUGGUUGUGGUUGUGCUUGAUUGGCAGAUGCAAGUUUUACUGGGACUUCAACUUUAUUUAUUGUUCAUGUGGCUUUAUGUUCUAAUUACAUUGUUAGCCACCUAGAGUUCCUUGUGAUAGGUGAGCAGCCAUAUAAGUUUAUUAAAUAGAUAAAUACAUAAAUACUCACUAUUUUUGACCAUGGAGAAAUGUCCUAUUUAAUCCCAUAAUAGAAAUACUUCUUUGAUGAAAUAUGAGAUCUCAAAUAUAGAGUAAGAAAUAUUCCUUCAUUAAAAAAGUAUGCAUGGGAAAGGUCUUAAUAAUAAAAAGACUAGCUACUGCACUGUGUUACCCUUUAAGGCAGGGGUGUCAAACUCACAUUGUCACAUGACAUAUUGCAACUUUUUUCCCCUUCACUAAACCAGGCAUGAGUGUGGCCAGCGUGUGACGCAUCCGGGCCACGGGCCGUGAGUUUGACAGCCCUGCUUUAAGGGAUAAUGGACUACUAGAUGUGCUUCCCUUCUCCUAUUUUAUUAUGUUAUGGAAAAAACUUACAUGGAGAGAGCUAGUUGAGUUAUUUAUUGUUGCAGAUGAAAUGAAGCAUUAGCCAAAACUGAAGGGAACCUGAUUCACUGUGAUUAAUUGGACGUAUGAUUGAUUAGUCUUUUGCUUUCCCCAAACAGAGUCAAUCAUUAUAAAUCUGAGGUAUUUUAUGCAUGUCCAUAAAAUCUAUUUUAACAUGAUACAAUUAGCUAUCAUUAACUUAAUCAUUGUGAAAUUUUCUGAGUUUGUGUAAUGCACUGAACCAUAAACUUAAGCACAUGUGUUAGGUUUGCACAACAUGGUUCCCUAAAAUGAGAUUGGACAGAUUGUUGUUCAUUGUGUUUUGUAAACACAGACCAAGUUUGAGAGUGGGGGUGCUCCUGUGGAAUUGUGUAUAUGAAACAAUAUUCUUCAGAAAGAGUGUUCCAGUUUCCAAGUUAGUCAGAUAUCAAGGUUAUGUUAGAAAAACUGUUGAAAAACUUCAAUGCACCCUGAAAUACUGUAUUGACACUAGCUAACUUUUUCAAGGACUUUCAUAGCAACUAAAAAGCAAAAGCUUAAAAUAGUACCCAGCUAUUUCAUUAGAAUAAAAAACUAAAGCCAGUUUUGAAUCAGUAAGCCUGGUUUAUCAGAUCUGGCAAUUUGAGCUCUAGACAACCUGAUAAAGUUUGAUAAAUAAAUUUUCACUUGGAGUUCUAUAUAAAAUGCAGUAAUUUAACAAACAUACUGCUUUGUGUGGAGUAAUUGCUAUAUGCAACUAAAAUAAUUACUUAAUCAGAAUUGAAUUAUGUUCUGGCUGCAAGAAAUGGCAAAAGCUACAAGAAAUCAAUCUGAUUUUUUUCAGCUUAAUGCCUAAAUACACUGAGGAAUGUAUUAUUAAUGAAAAAGUCCAAGUUAUUACAAUUUAAAACACACCCAAGAGAACCGGACAUUAAUUUUUUCCCUUCUAAAUCAGGAUCUUCGACUUCUGUUUUAUUUAAUAAUGCUAUCAGCUCUUGUGACUGGCUACAACCAAGACAGGUUUUAUGCCCUUUGCCUUUUAGUGACCUCCAUAACAAUAGAACUGGGGCCCAUCAGCAUCAAUGCUAGGAGCCCUAUAGAAUCCGAGAUUCUCACAACAAUCACAUUGCAUCAUCUCAGUACAUCAGUAUGAUAUCCAGAGUAUAAACUGCAAAUCCAGACCACUGAAGUAUGGCAGUAGAGAUACGGGAAACUAUUUGUGCUGCCAUCUUGUGGUCAUCCAUAUUUUUGCAACCCAGUUCUGUUACCUUUAGCCCAUACACUACAUGUAUGUGCUUCAAAAAUUGUUCAAAAAAAGUGCUUCUCCUUGAAUUUUGUCAUAUUCAUUGUAACUGUUUAUCUUUUUUUCUACCUGCUUUGCAAGCCUGAAACAAAAAAAAGUGCUGGUGCUUUAAGAUGUCAGUUCAUUAAGGUUAAUAUAAUUCUUAAAUGAGCCACGUCAUUUCACAUCAUUUCUGUAAAAUUGUGGGGCUUUUUAAAUAAAAGACCUGAGAGAAGUGCUAUGCUCACCUGAAUUCUGGAGCACAUUUUUUGAAUUGUUUUCAAAGAUUCACAACCAUAAUAUGGGUGUAGUAUAGGAAUACUUAGAUAACAAAGCUCAUCUAAUGCCUUUGCUUUUUAUUCAAGAAAAAAGCAACCCUGAAUUGUGAGACUCUUUUACAAUAGUGCAUAGUUAAUGUGCCAGGAGAUAAAUUGUUACUUGAAAAUCCAUUCAGUUCAAUUGUUGGCAAUGUAGUAUAUAUUAUUGUUUUGCACACAAACUUAUAAGACAAGACUCAGAUUGACAUUCUAAAUGCACAUGCAUUGCUCAGAAAAUAUUCCACAAUGACAUAUGAGGUAAUGUAUACACUAUAUAUGCUGCAGGUAGUGCAGCUACAUUUGUGACAGAGGAAAGACAUAACAGUUUUGCAUUCAGAUAUGCUGCCUUAACAUCAUCACUGAGUAUUGCAAAAAUUCCUCACAGCCUUUGAGUAUUAUAUUCCAAAAUAAUUGUCAUAAAAAUAACUUAAUUGAUGAUCUCAGUACAGCCUCUAAUGAGUAAGAAUAAAUCAUUUCUCAAAAGCAAUCAUACAAGCUAGAAGAAAAUCCUUUUGGAUACAGGCAAGUACUUUGACUGGGGCAAUUCACAGAGUCACAACUUUACUUCAGGCACAAACGUUUUGCUCAGCUUUGGUAGGUAGCCCAGUUGUACUGCCAGCAUCCAGUCAUCCAUCCUUCCAUAAUUUCUUUUCUUUCUUUUUUUUUUCAAACAACUCAGGUAGGCUUCUCAAACUACUAAUUCUUUUGAAGAUUGGCUUGGCAGUCACUCCCUCUUAGGAAGUUUUAGUUACAGAAUUAAUAUAAAUAAACAUGUUUUAGAUUUUCUGUUUAAUUUUAGUCUGUCCUUAGGGAGAAAUGUCAUUUAAUAAUUUUGGAUUUAUCAAUUUCUUUAUUGUUCAUUUUAAUGAAGGAUCACGAAGGAUUUAAUUUAAAUCAAGUGCUUUCAAAAAUCAAAUGAAAACCUGAAAAAUUUGUGUGUAUAUAUAAAUCUGAUAUAUAUCUUGAUUGAUUGAUAUAAUCUAGCCUGAAAAAUAAAAUAUUUAUUAUGACUUUUA